GUUUGGUCUGCCUACAUGUGGUAUGAUUUCCCUUUCACUUCUCACUUUCAUGCAUUGGAGAAGGAAAUGGCAACCCACUCCAGUGUUCUUGCCUGGGGAAUCCCAGGGACAGGGGAGCCUGGUGGGCUGCCGUCUAUGGGGUCACACAGAGUUGGACACGACUGAAGCAACACAGCAGCAGCAGCAGAUGAAGAUCAGGUGCCUCAUGACCUUCAACCAGGACUGGAAAAAGACAUAAUUUAAGGGACUGUCUCCAACCUGGAUGGAAGGACUUUUUUAUCAGGAGAAACUACACUACACCAGGAUGAGAAGACGGCGACAUCAGAGGGAGACAGCUUCCCCAAGAUGCUGGACCUGAUUCGUUUCUUGAAAGUCCUAGAGAAAAAUCAAUUGUGAUGCAAUAUCAUCCAUAAGCAUCAAAAUGCUACUUUUCCUUGGGGAUUGGAGACAGUGAUGGGCUCCAAAGUGAAUUUCCAAAGACCUUUGGAGACAAGCAAGGAGAAACAUAAGAACAGCACCAAGAACUCCGAGUUCACUGUCAUUUUCACCGUGCAUGAGAGUUGUUGAAUGAAACGUGUUUCCUAGUAUAGAGGAAGCCGGUCAGUAGUAGGGGGCAAGAGGCUUUGUGCAGGGCGCAAUGGUUACCCUCAGAAGCUUCUCACACUAGCAGCCUCUCUCUCCCAUCAAACUAAGUCAGCCCUGCACGCAUGACCUCUGCCUGAUGACAUGGACACAUGCAGGAGAUCUCACGCUUGAAGCUGCCUGCUCCAGAGCUAUAUUGGGCUUCCUUAGUAGCUCAGACAGUAGAGCAUCUGCCUGCAAUGCAGGAGACCCAGGUUCAAUCCUUGGUUCGGGAAGAUCCCCUGGAGAAGGAAAUGGCAACCCAUUCCCAUCUUCUUGCCUGGAGAAUUCCAUGAACAGAGGAGCCUGGCAGGCUACAGUCCAUGGUGUCGCAAAAAGUUGGACACAACUAAGCGACUAACAAACAAGCACGCAUGGGUGCGUGCACACACACAGCUAUAUUACACAAUUCCAUCUAAUCUGAUUUAGGUGAUACAAUCGUUAUGUUGAUGAAAAUAAUCAAUAAACAAUCUAUGAGAAGAACGAAAAAGAACUUCAUCUGAGCCAAACUGAAGACUAUAGCCCAGAGACAGAUUUGAGAGGCACUUGAGUUGUGUUCUGCCAGACUACAAAAUGAGGGAGGCUUAUAAAAGGCAAAGCCCACAAAACUGAUAAGUUGUUUGUCAACAAUUAGGAUUGGAGCUGGCAAAAAUUUAGUUUGCUUAUUCAGCGAGGAUUGGUUGGG
ensembl:lncRNA